CGCUGUGACUCCUACGGGAGGCAGCAGUGGGGAAUAUUGCACAAUGGGGGAAACCCUGAUGCAGCCAUGCCGCGUGUGUGAAGAAGGCCUUCGGGUUGUAAAGCACUUUCAGUAGGGAGGAAGGUAGUGUAGUUAACACCUGCACUAUUUGACGUUACCUACAGAAGAAGCACCGGCUAACUCCGUGCCAGCAGCCGCGGUAAUACGGAGGGUGCGAGCGUUAAUCGGAAUUACUGGGCGUAAAGCGCAUGCAGGCGGCCUGUUAAGUCAGAUGUGAAAGCCCGGGGCUUAACCUCGGAAUUGCAUUUGAAACUGGCAGGCUAGAGUCUUGUAGAGGGGGUAGAAUUUCAGGUGUAGCGGUGAAAUGCGUAGAGAUCUGAAGGAAUACCAGUGGCGAAGGCGGCCCCCUGGACAAAGACUGACGCUCAGAUGCGAAAGCGUGGGGAGCAAACAGGAUUAGAUACCCUGGUAG
rnacentral:rRNA from 1 species